UGGUUUAGAGUCACAAUACUGACUGCUCAAAAUGACUUUUGAAAGAAGAAAGCCUUAAAAACCCUUGAGUGAAUGGUUGGUAUUUACAGACAAGCAAAUGUAUGGAAGAGAAACGAGAGACCCAGCCUGAAUCUGUUGAAUGAACGAAAGGGGAAAUGCCCUAAGGAGUCAGAUGGAAGAAGUUUUUCUGGGAAGAGCAGAACACAGGAGUUGGGGUGCAGACCUCCUGGAUCACCAGCAGAAGGAAAAGAGCAGUGAGACGUUAAAGUGAUUGAGACAAAAAUGGAAGUAAAACAGCUUAAGGCUUUCUGAGAUCGAGUUCCUGGCAGUGUCAUCAGCAGAUGGUUUCUUCUGAAGUUCAGGGGAAGAGAAGAUGCUCGAAGAACUCUCCAGGGACUGAGUGGGUGGUACAGAGCUAGUGCUGUAGAUGCCAUGUAUACAGGCAAAUUCCCCAAUGAGUGUUUUCCAAUAUCAAGUUUAACUGGCAUUUAAGAUAUAUGCCAAAGGUAGGUAAAUUAUUUUGGCCUGUGCUUAUAGGUUUAUUUCCCUGGAUGAAGCUUUCUGUCUCUGUCCUAGUGCACUGUAGCAGAUGCAGGGUCUUUCCAUACAAUACAUUAAAAGCUGCAUCUCAUUUUAAAUAUAUUAUAGAAACCCUGAUCAUACAAUACAUACAAGAUUUUUAAGAUCAGCCUUCAGUCGAUUUUUUUGCUUUAUUUUUGUUCUGGAGGUCAAAAUGAGUGGUUAACUGUCUAAGUUGAUUGCAGAGAAAGUUACUACUCAUUCUAAACGUAGGUUUUUAGAAAAGUGUUCUUGGCAGUUGCUACCAUUGGCUUUUUCCAACUUACAUGGGAAUCAAGAUUCAGAACUGGUACACCAAUGGGAAGAGCCUGGAAAAUAGACUAUUGAUCAAGAUGAAUCUGGUCCAGAUACUUUAAGACCUUUUCAGUGUGUUUUUAAGAUUAUAAGUUUGAACUAACAGAAACUUCAAUGCUGUUUUUUCACAAGUCAAUGUGUAGUGUACUGUUAUUCUUUUUUUUCCUGUAAUAUCUUAAUAAUAUUCCUGGCUGUAAGAAAAAGUUAACACUAUACCUAUGUUUUGACUUACUUUAUAGAAGACCCAAACAAUAUUUAACAAAAGGAUUUUUCUCAAAUACUAUUUUGAAAUCACUAUAUUAGACACUAUCUUAAAUUUAUUUCUCAAUUUGCUUCUUUUUGAAACUUCCACAUUUUGGUGUUCUUUUCAGCAUCACUCAUUUUCUUUCAUAAUAAAGAUACCCAAUAACAAUAUCAUAAUAAAGAUUUGAUAACAAAUCUCCAGUUUUGGAGUGUUACAUUUCAUAUCUACAUGCUUACAGAGAAUUUAGUAUGAAUAUUCCCUGGCCUUAGUUCCUCUAAGCCUAGGAUACUUGUAGUCAUUUGGCAAAUAAUUUAAUCCAUGGCAAACAUGAGUCUUAAUACAAAAAUUAUUGAGUAGGCAAAAAAUAAUUGAACAUAUUUUGGACUGAUUACCAGUGCAUUAAAAAAGUAGAGGUUUAAGGAUGAGAAUAAUAAGUUUUUUUGUUUUUACUUAAAUUUAUAUAAAAGGAGUGAAAAUACAGUAGCCUAUAGUACUUAAGAGUGUGGGUAUAUUUUCAGCACUUAAUAAUUACUAGUUGAAUUGCAUAAUAUGGGACUAUAACUGAUAUGGUUUGGCUCUGUGUCCCCGCCCAAAUCUCAUGUUGAAUUAUAAUUUCCAAUAUUGGAGGAGGUACCUAGUGGGAGGUGACUGGAUCAUUGGGGGAAAUUUCCCCCUUGCUGUCCUCAUGAUAGUGAGUGAGUUCUCACAAGAUCUGAUGGUUUAAAAGUGUGUGGCAUUUCCCCCUUUACUCUUUCUCUCUCCUGCUGGCCAUGAGAAUAAGUGCUUGCUUCCCAUUCACCUUCUGCCAUGCUUGUGUUUCCUGAGGCUUCCCAGCCAUGCUUCUUGUUCAAGCUGCAGAACUGUGAGUCAAUUAAACCUCAUUUCUUCAUAAAUUACCCAGUCUCAGCUCUUUAUGGGAGUGUGAGAAUGGACUAAUAAAAUAUCUCUAGAAUUAUGUUUUUGGAGAUAAUUUAAAGAUAAACAAAUAUUGGAAACCUCAUUUGAUCACACAGAGAACAGUAAAUGGAAGUUCUACUUUUUCUCCAGGGCCUUUCUCAUGCUUAUGCAGGGAUUAUUCACCCAGAUAUCCUGAAAUAAGACAUCCAAUUAAGGUACCUGCUAUCUCAUGUAACACAGAAGAAAGUUGAGCAUAGAGGUUAAACAUUACCUAAUAUUGUUGGAAAAGCUUCGAAGCGUUCAUUUUCAAAGCAGCUAAUGUAAACCAUGAUAAUCACUAGUAGCACUAUGCCAUUUUAAAUACUUCAAUAUUUUGUAGUUAUUAGAUUCUAAGUAAGUAUAAAAUGUAGUGAAUACAAAUUUUAUUUGCCUAAACAGUGUUAGACAAUAUAAAUUAACGAG
rnacentral:lncRNA from 10 species